AGGGUGUAAACGCUGCAGACUUGGUGUUGGAAAUCCUUCGAGGGUAUUCAGUGCCGGAGAGAAGUUGUUAAGUCUGCUACUUGGGGAGUACGUCCGCAAGGAUGAAACUUAAAGGAUUGGCGGGGGAGCACCGCAACGGGAGGAGCGUGCGGUUCAAUUGGAUUCAACGCCGAAAAACUCACCAGGAGCGACGGAUAUAUGAAGGUCAAGUUGAUGACUUUACCUGAUUUUCCGAGAGGUGGUGCAUGGCGUAGACGUCU
rnacentral:rRNA from 1 species